GGCAGAGAGAGAGGGAGAAAGAAUUCCAAGCAGGCUCCAAGCUCAGUGCAGAACCCAACAUGGAGCUUGAUCUCAUGAUGGAACAAAUCAGUAACAAAGUCUGUUAGGAAUCCCAGAGCUCAUUGUUGGUGAGGAGGGUAUGAGUCAGUAGGAGAACCUGCUGCUGCCACCAUGGAGCAAGUGACAGAGGGUUCUUUACGUGGGAACCUUAGAAUAAUCAAAGCUGAAAGGCAUAGGAGAGUUUAACAACUCAGACCCUGAGGGACACAGUAGGAAAUUGUACUUCUGGAAGAAGGCUGGGGAGGGCUACAGGGAAGAACAUUGUGCUUUUAGACCUAAUGAUCUUUGAUCCACCUAUUCACCACUUUCCCUUUGAAAUACAGCCAUAGACAUUCUCCAGGGUUGAAUGCCUUGGUUGAGACUUUGCCUACUCAUAAUGAUCUCCAAUAACUUUAAGAUCAAAGAUUCCAGUAAGAACCUGGGAAUUGUCAGAAAAGCAUUUGAAUAAAAAACAGGCAGCUCAUCAAAGUGACCCAAUUAAAUGGAAAUGACACAUUCGGAAACCUGUCUAUGAGUUUCUAUGUUCAGAAAGAAAAAGAAAGAUGGAACUUGAUUUGUGGAUGGCAAUGCUUGACUGAGGGAGGAGAUAUGUUUCUGAAAGAAUGCCAGCUAACAGAAAAUUUCUAGUAAAAGAAAAAGAGGUGAGUAAUCAGCUAAAUGGACAGUUAUAUACAGUGUGGCUAAUACAAACCCUUACUGAGAUUGAUUGAUUGAUUGAUUGAUAGAUAUGAUAGAUAAUGACUCAGUGAAUGACCAGUUGUCUAACCAUUUGUUUUGGCAAGUGAGACACAUGGAUUCAGACUUAAAAAUACCAUCAUUUGGAUGCUGGACUUAAAGAAAAGCCAUGAGCUUUUUUUCUUAAAAUAUAGAUUACUCACAUGUGGUUGAAAAACCCAUCAGUCACAUUCAAAGGAGAAAAAUGCUAGUGACUGAAAAAACAAGAUAUAUUUAUUUGUGCAAGCUUUGACAGGUUUAGGUCCCUGAGAUGAGUGUACAUGAAGUUGUAAACCAAGUUUCAAUAGACACAUUUCCAGGACUUGCUCUUCUUUCCUGUCCAGCUUAUAAUUUACUGAAGACAUGUUUACAUUUUAGUCCUUAAACAGACCCCCAAGUUACAUGGCUCAUCACCCAUGGGAAUAAUAAGUUACAACGAGUUUUUCUCUGCUAUUGACAAUUUUAGGGGUUUUGACUUUGUGACUGAGGCCUUGUCAAAAACAAGAAAGGCUAAAAGACAAGAUUACCCACAAAUAUAAACCCAAACUUAGAUAUCAGCCCAUCAGGGAAUAGCAUUUUAUAGCACAGACCGUACAAAACACAAAGGAACAAGAAAUUUAAUAUGAACUGAGCCUCUCAACAAUUCAUAUCGACCGCAAAGCAGAGGAAUAAACAGAAAUUUAAAUGGACACUUUAAGUAAUUGAAGCUGCCUUGAUCUUAUAACUAGCAUGGUGACCUUUAACAGGUGUUCUUAAUUUUAUCUGAUUGAUUUACUAACCUUCCUAUUAUAUCUUCUAGAAGGAGAAUAGAAAGCCCUUGCACGUCACAGGACAGGAAUUAGACCUCUUGCUCAACCGCCAGACAGUGAAAGCUGUAAAGAGGCACCACUAAAUCUACACGGAAUCAGGAAAUGUUACAGGCCACUGCACCCCCUCCCUAAUUAACUACGCCCAGUCCCUUUAAAGCCCUCUUGGCUAGGCAGAAACCGUGGAGCUGGCUUUUGGGCCAGAGUCUGCCUUCUCCCCAGGUGGCCGGCCUCCUGAAUAAAGCUCAUAGUCCUUUCCAACCAACACGGGCUCUUGGGUACUGAGCAACAGGCAGAACUUGGGUUCCACAACACAAUUACUAGACAAAGCAGGUGGGGGGAGAGGGUGCAUUGUGAUGUAGUAUUGAGUAAUAUCCCAGAUUAAAAGAUGUGUUUCAAUUCAUGUUGCAGGGCUAUAAAGGUAGAUCACCAGGUGAAUGGUUUCUAAGAAAGGGAGUUGGCAAGAUGGGAUAAAGAGGAAGGAUGCAGCUCUCUGAAUAACUUCUCCAGAGCUAACUUACUUUUCUGGCUCCUACACAAAGCAGAAACUAGCUAUCUCCGUUGUGUCCGCAGUCUGAAACAGAUACCACCUGCCCCUCCUCCUUCUUCUUUGUACUUGGAGUGUGGAAGUGAAGCCAUAGAUGCAGCAGCAGUCCUGUGACCUUGAAAUAAGAAGCACGAGUGGAAAAUCCACAUGCUAAGGAUGACGGAACAGGAAAAUAGAAAGAGCUGGAAAUAGUCACAUCAUGUUGCUACUGCACCAGUCCUACACUUCCGACCUUCAGACUUAUUAUUAUUUUAGAAAAAUUAUAUCCCAGCCACCUGGGUGGCUCAGUCGGUUAAGUGGCUGACUCUUGAUGUGGGCUCAGGUCAUAGUCUGGCAGUUCAUGAGUUCAAGCCCCAUGUGACUAACAGUGGGGGCCUGCUUGGGAUUCUCUCUUUUUCUCUCUUUCUCUCUGCCUCUCCCUGCCUCUCUCUCUCUCACUCUCUCAAAAUAAAUAAAGUUAAAAGAAAAUCUCUUAAAGUAUACCCCGUUGUAGUUAAGUUACUGUGGAUGAGUUGUUGUGCAACUAUCCUUCUCUUCAAAAACAACCUCAAAACAGUGAAAUUCAAAAUGCAGCAGAGAGAGGAAACAAAAAUUGCCAAUAUCAGAAAUAAAACAAGGGAUACAACUAGAGAUCCUAGGGGAGAAAUUAGAAGGACAAUAAAUGCAAACAAUGAAUAACUUUUUGUCAAUAGAUUCAACAAUUUGGUUGGAAUGAGCAAAUUAUUGAGUGAGUCCACUUCAAAACCAACAUGAGAAUAAAGAACAAAUCUAAGUAGCCUCCCAUUAAAAACAAAACAAAACAAAAAAACAAGAAAGGUCUGAAAUUGUGUGUUGCCUGCAAACUGACAAGCCUGUCAACCAGUUUCAAGGAUAUUGAAAGAAAAUACAGUACUCGUGGGUCAGAUACAAAGGUCAAUAUUUUACUCAACAAUGGUUAUGAAUUAAAGCUUUUAAAAACA